GCCAGGAUGGUGGAAUGGUAGACACGCAAGUCUCAAAAACUUGUGGAGGUAAAACUCCAUGUGGGUUCGACUCCCUCUCCUGGCA
rnacentral:tRNA from 1 species